GAGAACCUAAUUUCUUUCUGCAUGUAUUAUCAGUCACUAAUAAUGAAAGAUCUAUACCAGGAAUUUGAGGACUAGUCUUACAAACCCUUAUGUAAUAUUUAUUAUUCAGGGUCACUGAAGUAAGAAGCUGCUCUGCCAGAGCUGGUGGUUUGCAACUAGCAAAAUCUAAUGUGACCAAUGAACUUAAUAUUAAAUACUUGAAGAAUCAGAACGGCCAUUACAAAUUCUGUCAACAGGACACAACUUGGAACAUCCAGUUUUCUUUCCUCAAGGCAAUAUUUGCUUUGAAGUGCUAUAUGGCAAUUGCAACAAAAAAGCAGCACAUGUACUUCAGUCAUUAUACACAAGACCACAGCUAUGGAGCAGAAUUCUCAGGAAGUGUUACCAGCUGGAAUGGUAUCCCUGUUAGUCACUCUGUGUUGUUCCUGUGAGCUAUUGGAAGUCCUAUUUUUCACUGAUUUCUCCUCUCUUUUUUGAACGUUUCAUCUUCAAGGUCAUGAAGUUGUCAAUUCCUGAUGCAAUGAAAGUACAGAUUUUCACAUCCUGCAAUGUUUUAGAUAAUAAUAAUUUUAUCAGGUCAGAGAGAAGCACAGAACUCUUAGUUCACAUUUGCCAAAGGCUGUCACUUCAACUAGCAGGAGCAGAAGCAUUGUAUCACCAAGAUUUUAAAGAGGUGUUUUCUAAGAAAAGCCCCCAGGAGAAUUUUUGAAUAUUUUCUCUGACAGGUGAGAUUUUUCUACUGAUUUUUCACAAUUUUACAUUUUUCUAGUUGACCUUUUGUCCUCUUAUUUUAAAUGAGUUCAAAAGGUCAGACUAAUUUUAAGCAGAGUUACAUCAGGACACAUUUUCAGCCAAAGUAACAAUUUUUAUGUGCAACAAACAAUAAUUUUCUGUUUUAAGAUUAUUAAUUGUCCAUUAUGUACUAUUUUAGUGGUUUGAAAUGAAAACAACAAUCAAAAGUAUAUGUGAUUGCAUUUCAGUGCAAGUAUCAAAAACGUUUUUUCUUUUGGAUUUGGAAAAAAAAUAUUUUUCUGUUUCAGUGACUGAAAUAACUUGGCAUUUUAGUGGUAUUUGUAGGUUAGGCAAUGGUUAAAAGUAUUUUGCAAAGAUGUUUCUGAUAGCUUUAUGGUGUCAUAUUUUUUCCCUUUUAUUAAUAUGUUUGAGAAUUCUUCUAGCCCUUAGUCUUUCUCCAGUCCUGUUUGUCAUGGAAGUAAAAUUAUAUAUGUUUAUAGCUUUUUUACUUUAUGUACUAUAGUUUAAAAAGGUUUGGAUUGCUGUGGCUUUUCUUAACAGAGAGGAAAAAUAGUGAGUAAUGUGGUUUUAACUCUUCUGAUUAAGUCACUCUGACCUGAUCACCAUUCUGUGGGUCAAAGGACUUCAUAUUCUACAUGAGGCUAAACUAGUAUAUACUUCUUUUUGUUUAUGACUCUGUGCAUAUAUAUAAGCACAAUGCUUUACUACUCACCCUUUUAAAACAAAAAAACUUGGGUUAAAGGGAGAAAACUAAUUUGACAGCAUUCUUCAUAAUCCUAUUAAGAUAUACAUUGAAUAAGCUACGGGUUGCCUGUCUAAUUUUGCUUUCUUGUUUAAGACAAGUUUAUUGUUGCCAAUUUUAGCUAUGUACCAUGUGAAUUUUCUUAAGAUAUUUUGUGAAUUAUUGCUCUAAUCUGAGUAUUUGCUCAUUGUUUUCCCAGAAGCACUUACUUCCUUAGAAGUGUUUUGUGCCUGUUGUACACCUUAUUUUUAUAAAUGUUCCAAACUCAGGUCUUAGUUUCUAUGCUAUGUUUUUGGGCAAAGAUCUGACUCAAACAGGAGUAGAGAAUGUUUCAGAUAUUCAAAUCCUAACAAAUGUCUGACUCUUCCAAAGACAUAAUUCAUGGGCUAAGUUCUUGACAACAGUCAGAUCUUAACAAAAUUCAAUUAACUCUUCCUGGUUUUGUUGUUGUUUGUUUGUUUUUAGACAGAUAAUACUUGGCUAAAAUGAAUAGAAUAUCUUUGAAAAUAGAAACCAUAAAUCGCUACUCUAUAGUAGUAUGAACUUGAAUUACUACCUGAUUAUAAAGAUUAAUUUGUGUAUUAAUUGAAUAAUGGAGAAAAGUUAUUGGAGUAAUGGAUAGAAUGCAAAAUGACCAAGUAAAAUAAUUUCGUAAUAUUAUCCUUUAUAACACCAGAAAUCCUUCUAUAAAUGUAUGUCAGAACUGAACAAUUACAUUUGGUUUUAUGACUAAUGAAUGAUUCCUCUAACCAACUGAAAUUGUGGAGGAACUGACUGGUGUCUUUCACCGCAAUGAAUAGUAAUUCGAUUGAUGUCAAUGAGGCAACACUAGAUUGAAAGGAGAUUAAAAUGAGACAUUGCCUGGCUAAAAACUGCAGACUAUUGUUUCCCAAGACAGACUCUUCCCAGAUCUAGGAGCAAUCUGUGAAUACUGAAAACUGAAUUCUACAGAUUGCAACUGCUUUGUUGAUUCUAUGUUUUUAAUACAUCCCAAAAUGUCCUUUAAAUUGUAGAGCUACAUAUCACUGAGAUUUCUUUUUAUAAUUAAUUGCCUAGAUUUUUUACUGUUGUUGUGGCACUGCCCCAUCAGCUUCCUUUGCAUCCAUGAGGUUGCUGUACUCUCACUCACUGUAAACAAAACAGUGUCCACUGAAGUGUGCAUCUGUAGAAAAAAGAUAUUUAUUGUAAUCCUAAUUAAUGAUCAUUUAGAAUGCUACAAGUCUUCUGUUCCUCCUUUGUCUUAUUUUGCUUUAAAAAUUUGCUUCUAUGAAUUGAAGACUAACUGAAACUGAAAACUGGAGUUACUUGAUAUGUUUCUUCUCAAACAAUUCUUUUACUCUUCAUAAAAAAUCUUCACAGAAAUUCGUAUAAUACAAUGAAAUGGCUGGGGUUUAUCAAAACUAGAUCAAAAUUCCACUUGGAAUGAAAACCCAGGGUUCAGGAAGACUGAAGCACAAUUCAAUUAAACAUUAUUCCAUUUGCCUUAGGGAAGCACUGCUUGUAUCAGUACAACAGUGUAGUCCUGUAUCUGCAGUGAGCAUGUCAGAUGGCUGUUCAGAAGAUAGGACUUUUUCUCCAAAAUGAGUUUGAUAAGAUGUAAGUUCAGGAAGAGAAAACUGAAUAUAGCUUAAGAGUCACUCACCUAAAAAUAAAGUAUUUCAACAAGCAGGAGGACUACAGCCCAGACAAGUAAAAACUUACCAGUAAAUAGAACUCAGUGCUAUAUGAAGUUCUUUCCCAAAAUGCUUCAGAUUAAAUUGUUUAUUUUGAUUAGUCAGCUAAUUAUAGUGUAAAUACUGUGUUAUUACUAGUGAUUAAGAAUUUUCAGUUAAGAUAAAAUAUUUCUAGUUACAAAAGUACUGAUUUCUUGAAAUAGAUUUUUUACAGAAACAUAUCUGUUUCAAUGUUGUUUUAAUGAAGUGUUGGCAAGCUUGGGGGGAAUAUUGUGUAUUGUCCUUUCUAUUCUGCCAGACACAGUAUAUUUUUUGAUGUUGAUGGGAACUGAAGGUGGGGUCUUGCAUUUUAAAUUAAAAAAAUAUAUAUAUCUGAACAUCUCCUCCACAGAAUGGACAGAGAUUUUUUUUCCUGCUUUCUGCAACUUAAAAUUAUUUCUAUGCAUUGAAAAAGCAAUAAAAACUUUUCAGUGCUUUGAAAUUUUCUGUAAGACAGGAAGAGUUCUAUUAACUUACAUGAGAUAAAUGUGUUAAAUAAUUUUUUUUCCUUUUUAUUAAUUUUACCUACAAUCAACACUAUGAUAAUAUAAGACUUUCUUUAAGGAACAACAGGGUUGAGCUUCAGGGUCAUGAGAAGAGUGGAAGGAUUUAUGCUACAUAACGACAGCACCCAGUUUUCCUGAUGCAUGCACUGGAGCAUAUUCCUUACUGAAUAAGACACAGAAAAUAAUGUGAAGGUUGAAAAGCAGUGCUGCUUGCCUUUCAUGUUUCCACCAAAAUUAUCCUGGUCUACUACACAUCCUCACAUUCUUUUGCAGACACAGAAAGUGCCCUCAGAUACACGCUUUGUCUUUUCUGUAUUAGCCUUGCUUAUGCCACGUAUCCAGCACCCCCUUAAUUAUAAUCUGAGUCUUGUAAGCUUCAUAUAAACAAAUUGGAAAUGUGCUGGACAAAGGAAAGAUCAUGACUGAAUGUGUUUCGGUCUUUAUUAUCUGCAAGACACUUCAUCUCCUUCAGGAGACAUCACUGUUACAAAGGAGGAAAAUACUGUUUUCUGUUCCCUAUUACUUAGAGAAUCUGAACAAGUGCAUUUGUGCUCACAUUUUGAUUAUAGAUGAAAAUUUGAGUACUCUUACAUCCCAAGAUCUGUGUUCAGGAGCUACAAAGAUAGUUAAAGGCACAGAUAUGUUCUUAGAGUUCAUUUGCACAGUGUUAGAAUUUAUGGAUAAGUUUUGGAGGAAAAAUUUUAAUGGAUAUAUGCAGAAACUGGUUGCAUAUAGCUUUUUUAAUUCUGGUACUCUACUGUAUUGUACAUUUUGUAAUAAUGUAGUACCAUUUCAAGUGGAUGCAUCUCAUAUUCACUCUGUGGAGUAAAAAAUCACAGUAUCUUGUUCAAAACAAUUGAGCAUCCAAUCUUCAGUGUGUGAGAACUGAAGGAAAACCAAAGAUAAUUUAUUUUACUUUAACUCUUGCAAAUGAAGAGUUAGAGCAAACUCUGACAAACUUUGCAAGCUCUAGUAAAUCUGCUUAUUUUUCUUUUCAGAAAAAAAAAAGAAAAGUAAUUUGGAUAAAGCAUUCUUUCUGAUAGAUAAAGAAAAAACAAACAAACAAACAAAAACAAACAAACAAAACCAAAGAAAAGCCGGUACAAUGGUACAAUCUCAAAAAAAGUAUUUAAUAGGAUGCAGUCCAGAUGUGAUGCUGAAAUCUUCCUACUUGGAUUUUAGUUCUAAUACUACUGAGUCAGAUGUAAUAGAUCUGACCUAAUAGCAUCAGGGAAAAUAUCAGUCAGGUGUGCAUCCCUUCAUGGAGGUGUUACACAGAUGCUUAGGCAUAGAAUUAAUAUUUAUCUUAGAAUACUGUAUUUAGUCAUAAUUUAACUGUGUGAAAUCAGUGCUUUAGUCAUGAAUGAUGCCAAAAUUUUUAUUUUUCCCUCAAAAAAUGAAAAGUUUUACUGUACUUUUGCCAGUAAGUUACCACUUGGUGACAUUUGUUUUACGUAUCUAGUAGGGCACCCUUAGCCAUUUGACAUGUUGCUCACAAAACUGGAAGUUUAGUUGGUCCCUGCAGAUGAAUAUGUCUUAACCUACAUAUGCCCAGAGCAGGGACCCUCCCGUGUAUCACUGAAUCUAACAGACUACAGGGCAAUUUUGAAAAUGUUAUGAAAUUAAAAGCCUUAGCAGGACAAAAACUCAGGAUCUUCUUAAUAAUCAAUUCCCACUGUAUCUCAGAACAUUAUUAACCAACUAUUCACAAAAAAGUCCCUAAGCUGGGACUGAGUCACCAUCUAACUUGUAAAGUAAUCAAAAUUUUAAAAAACCCACCACCUUCAGAAAAACCAUGCUGGUAUAACUGUUUUUAAUAGGCAUUUUUACUGAGUGGUUAGUUGUGAAUUAAAGUCAAUUGCUAAAAACCAUACAAAUUUGUUAACAGCCCAUUUUAUAGAAAUUAAUCUUGGAAAUUAUAUAUUCUGGUACCUGUGAAUCCUCAAAGAUGCUACUUAGGAUUACAUUAGGCUUAUAUUUUAGCUUUCACAAUUCUGAAAGACAGAAGAAUUUAAUAAGAAAUGAGAUAAAUUCUAGACAUAGUAGAGUCUUAUGCAAACUGCACAUAGUAUAUGAACCCUUGGGCAAUGAUGAGAUGCAUAGCAUAUUCCAAUAUUAUUUUUUUAUGUCAAAGCUAUUUUAAUAUAGAUUUUACAUCAAAGAUGGAAUGCAACAAAAGGCAAAAUCUUAAGACAGUAGGUUAUAUAGCUAUAACUGCAGCUUGAAUUUUAAUCAGGAAGAGCAAAAAUACUAGUUUGCUCUUUUAAAUAUCACAGCUGCACUGAUUCUUCUUAUGAUAACCUUCCAAAAUUAGAUGUAGCUGUAAGAAUCACAUACAGGUUAAUACCAAUUAACUCAGCCUCACAGUGUGAGAUAAUUUAGUAUUCCUGUGUUUACUUUCUGCUCACUUUAUUGUUUCACUUGAAAUAGUCUCAGGAUAAUCUGCUGCAUUUUUCCUAUGGCCAUUGAAUUGUAUUAGCCAGCAGCCCCAAUACUUAUUUGUGGAACUCCACUCUUUCAACAGCCCCAUCAGUGACAGCAUGAUUAUCUCAGGUCAGAGUCUUCUUGAACUUUUCUACAUUUUCUAUUGUCUCAAGCUGGCUUUCCUUGGAAACUGCAUUUCGCUAAUAUUUCAUGUCACCGAACAGAAACUUCAGUUAUACCAGUAUUGUAGAGGACUGGUCUUGGGAAGUUCCUACCGGGAAAUAGCCCUGAAUCUUUCUCCUUUCCUUGCUUAUUUUGUACAUCUGCAGUAGGGCUAGGGAAAUAAUGGGGUACUAUGUGGUAUAGGAAAAUUAUAUAGGAAGUGCUCAUUAUGUAGAAAGUCCACUGCAAUGUACACAAAGUAUUAUCACCCUGUUUGCUGUUUAAUAAUGCUGGAGCAAUUCAUUAGCUGACUGGAAGAGUAAUAAGAAAAUGCAUUCUUUUAUACUUUUAUAAUCGCAUGCUGUCUAUGUUUGUAUUUUUUGCUUCAUUCUUUCUUUUUACUCACACUACUUGGCAUUCACAUUGACACAGCAUCUAAAGACAUCAGUGAAGAUGGAUCAUACCGCUUCAGAAGCCAUAAAAAUAAUCUAUUACAGCCUAUGCUACAAAAAAGCGCAAUCUCAAAGAUUCCUGCUUUCUUUUCUCUUGACUUUAUAGUGCAGAAUGUUCUGCUUCCUGAUGCUCUUCUCAUUCUCCCGUUUUUGGUCCUUCAUUCUUGUUACACAUGGUUUCUAGCUCACUCUUUUCCUGCUCCCUGAGAUGUUCCCUUUCUGCUGGUAGUUGAUAUCCUCAAAAAGGUGCCCUUUGCUCCAUCUGUUCACAAUACCUACAUAUCCUACAUAGUCCUUUUUAGUUCCUAUCUCCUUUUACUGAGUCUUUCAAUAAACAUCAUGAAGAUCGGUAGGAAGAACAAUAGAAGUGAGAAGAUGCAACACCACACAGAAGGGCUCUUCAUUGCUCUUUACUUGAGAAAAGCUGAUUUGUGGGAAUCUUUCCCUAUAUGUAUUAUUACAUAAAAAUCAGUAAGGUCAUUUGAAGCUUGCGUGCUAAAUCUGUUAAAAUAAGAAGCCCUAAUCUUAUAAAAAUUUUCAUUUUCUCUAAUUGUCAUGAUUCCUAGGAUAUCUGGACAGGACCAAUCUGAUAGAGGAGCUAUUGCAUUUUCGCCAUACAGAAGCGCAGCACUUAUGUCCCAAUAUUACUCGCUUUCAGUUGUUGUAAGCAUCAGUUACCUAGGAAAGAAUUAUAAGAGGUCGCAGAGUAAGAAAAUGUCACUAGCACAGUAAGAAUUGAAACUCAUGUUUUUAAUUGAAAUGUCUUUGUUAUUUAAUUUUGUGACAGUUUAUAAUAUUAUAAACUCAAAAAUCUACACAAUUCUUUCUCAAAAUUGUAAAUGUGGUAGUCAAUUAAAAGACUAGAAAUAAAGAAUGGAUAAUAAAAGUUCUGAAUGAAUUUGUACUUAUGACAAGACUCCUAUUUGGUUCACAGGGAUUUUGGUGUUUUCACUGAUAUAGUUGAAAUACAAGAGAAAUUGAAAUACAUAUCAUUGGUCACAAAAAACCCACUUCUUUUUUUGUCAGAGUUUUGGAGAGUACAAUGCAUGCCUAUGGGAACAUCCUGCAAGGGAACCCCAACGCUCUGCUUGACAUUUCAUAAAGACCGUGACUGUACUUCCUUCAUCCCAGGGGCUUGGCUACCUGGGCUCAGUGCCAGUUCUGAUAAUGCAGUAGCCCAGCUCUGAAGCAGAGCUGUUUGAUAAAAAGCUGUAGAAGUCUCAACAAGGGUUCAUUCCUCUUCGCUCAGGAACUGUUUUUUUUUUUUUUUUUUCUUUGUGGUUUGUUUGUGUUGUGGUUUUUUUUGUUUGUUUGUUUGGGUUGGGUUUGUUUGUUUGGGGUUUUUUUGCUUUGUUUUUAACUCCCUGGGGAGUGCUGGGGGAUGCUCUUCAUCUCUGGAUGAGCUACUGUGAAAGUGCACCUUCACCCAGCCUUGUACCUUCCUAAUUCUGACCCUGAGCCUGAUUUGCUGACCUGACAUUUUGGCUUGACCUUAGACCCAUCUCAUCACUACCAGAUUUGCCUUGCAAUCUGAAUCAUUGUUUGGGCUAGAUCUGCUCUACUCGUGCACAGGUUCUGUGGGUCUGGAAACUUUUUUGCUAGGACCCUGCUCCAGCCUGCCUUGCUGUGAGUCUGAACUCUCAGCUCACCUCCCCUUCCCUUGCUGCUCUCCGAGACAUAUCAAAUCUUUUUCAUUAGGACCUAGAGUCUGUCUACUGAUCUAUACCACAGAAACUUUUCAAAUUGAGUCUGGGAUGCCAAGGAAAGGUACUGUGCCUCAAAGCCCUCAUUCUGAAUGACUACAUUUUCUUUCACACAUUGUUUUAUUCACAUCCUAAUUUUAGCAGACACUUUUAUUUCUUAAAUAGUAUUGUAGGUAUUAAUUCUUAACAUAUUAAUAAGCUACUGAAGUUAUCUUUAUUUUCAAAGAUCUUUGUGAUGAUAUGCCAGAUUUAAUCUUUUUUAGCUUUUGUUUUUUCUUUUUCAUUAUUUGUAGGAACUAAUGUUGGCUCAAAGAAUAUUCACUUCUGCUUCUUCAAGCUGUUCAUCUGAAAUCAAUUUGCAAUGCAAUGCAAGGAUAAUUUCAAAAUCAGUUAACCGUGAGCUCAGACAUGCCCCAAAGUUAGGUUGCAUGGAGGUUUUUUCCGCAAGAAUCUGGUCUCCAAGUGUAAUUAGCUGUCUCUGUGACACUGUUUCCUUCAAAAUAAGGCCAAUGAGGCAGUGAAUAGAACAAGGAAAGAGGCAAUAAUCUAAUCAUAGCAUGAUUCAUGGUCUAAGCUAAUAUGGCUACCUAAAGAAAUAUCAUAUAGGGAAAAUCUAUUUUACACUUCCACAGUGCCACCUACCUUUUUAUCCUGUGCUUUCCCUAUACACAGGUCUUCAUAUAAAAUACCUAUACCAUGCUCUUCAAGGAGAAAGCAGAGUCCUUGGCAAGUCCCUGACAGCGUAGUUCUAACAGAGCUGUGCUGGUGCUGUUGGGAGUUUGAGAGAUGUCAUAAAACUAUUUGACUCAAAAAUAUGAUCUUCAUGUUGACUCUACAAAUAUGAUCAUACUUCCAGCAUUACUUCUCAGAAUCCAGGCAAAUCCAGAGGAACUCUUGUUAACACUAUUACUUUAAUGAAAACAGGGGAAUACUCAGAGAUUAUUAUAACUUCAAACUGUAUCCUAGAACUGUUUAUUUUAAUUAUUUGGUAGUGAAUUAGUUAUAUUGAGGCUCCAUUAAAUUAUUUUUCCUAGAUUUUUCCUUGUUUUAAACCUCAGCCCACUUCUUCAUAUCGCACUGGGGCUUGGCCAAGCAGCCAUUAAUAAAUAAUAUUUUUUAAAAAUUAUUUUGUGUCUGAUUAGAGCUUUACUCCCAGUUCUCAAAUAUACCACUGAAAACAUAAUAGAGUUCUGUGUGCUUAAACUGUUGGUUUUGAUGUCUAAAGUCAAUCAAUAUAUUAUCAAUAAGUAUAUUAUUAAUCUAAGAUGUAGUACAAAUACGCACAAUAUUACGAAAGACUAUUCACAUUUUACUUUUCCUACAAUGUCUUUCUGAAAAACUAGAUCCUACAAUGACUAAUAUGCAUCUUGUUUGAGUCAUUUCAAUUGGAAGAGCCUUUAGAUGUGGGAUGAAAAAUGAAUUCCUUAAAAAAAAUAUAAAAAAGCAGGUGCAGUUUCCUCUUCUGAAGCAUACCAAUCCAGAGGAUUUGCUCACUAAAGCAGCAAGCCUGUAACUUUAUACUGAAAAAAAUACUUCUUGUUUUCAUUUGACCUGUACUGAAAAUAAAACUCAAUGUCUGUCUUCAGAGGCAUGUAAUUUAAACAAUCACUUUAAAUGAUCUCAGGGCUGUUCAACAAGAAUUGAAGGUUCUUUCUGUGGGGUUCCUUCAGUCUUCUCUCACAGCCUUGAACGCUUGUUAAUGAAGAGCAGAAAAGUUUUCGUAUUGCACAAUGUAAAAGAUAAGAUAUAUUAUUUUCUCCAUAGUGUUUAAGCAAGCGAAGCGCUUAAGGUUUGGUUGUUCCUAGAAAGUCAGAGUACAUCCAUCUUCACACUGAGGGUGUUAUAUAGGUGCUAAGGCUGGAGACUGUAUCUUACAGAGAGUGGAAGCAGCCUUCUACUCUUUCCUGUUACAUUUGCUCUAAUGUAAAGCAUUUCAAAAGGCUAAAGUUGGAAAAGAACUAAAAUUAAUGGCUCCAGGAAGCCUGGGAAUUUUAGGGGUUUUAAUAUUCUACUUUAAAAAAAAAAAAACCCACACUUUUUUCCCCCAUUUUAAAGCAUGGAAAAGACUCCUGUGUCUCCAUAACUGACUGGGUUUCUCAGAUGGUAUUAUUGCUAGACCUAAAGUCACCAGUAGUCUCUAUGUUCAGAUAUAUUUCAAAGAUAUACAUAGACUCUGAGCAGUUUUAUGAACUCUUUCUCAGACCUUAUACGCAGUAACUUUGUUCACUGUGAUAAAAUGGCAAUUUAAGAGCAGCAGGCUAUUGCAAUACGACAGGUUUUUUGACAUUAAACAGAAUAAUUUGAAUUUAUGCAAGAUAAGAAGCCUGUAUACGUUUUGAAACAACUAAAUUUUAGUCCAGAAUUAUGUGAUGCAAAUAGACCUAUGCAUUCAAAAAAAUCACUUUUUACUUCCCUCCCCCCACUUAGAAUGUAAUAUGUGUUUCUAUAUCAUUAAAAUAAAGGAUGAAUCAUUCAACAGUAAGAUGGCAUUUAAAUAGCAUACAGAUGAAAAAUCAGUUCUAUAACUAACCUGAAACAGAAUAAUAACAACACAGUGCUGCUUGUAUUACCUACACUGCACUAGGAUUUGGUAAUCUACUUUGAACAUUAAAUACUCAAUGCAAAUGAAAAGUUAAACUGCAAUAUAUGUGCAUUUACUUUUUCCUCUCAGUGUCAAUUAAUCCCAUACCAUGUGAACCAAUUUCUUAAAAUCUCUUUCUUUUGGCACAAUUACAGUCACAUUAUAAACUAUUUACAUUACAUAUGUUAAUACAAAACAGGUCAGUAAACUAACUUCAAAAAGGAAAGAUUUGCUAGGAUCCUGUGAGCACUCGUGAAGUGUGCCAUCAUUGCAGAGCACUACAUGUUACUGUUUAAACUUCCUGGUUAUAAAUUCCUUACAUGCAUAAUCUCAAAACUCUCUCUGCAGAACCAUGUUUCGAAUUUAAGUUUCCUUUUUUUAUUUUUGUCAAGUAACAAUGUGAUUCUUAAAAUAGUCUGGCAUUAUCAGGCUAUGUGCCAUAGUCUGUUUAUUGUGAUUCAGAGCUAGAAUGUUUGUUGAUAACAAGCAUGGCUAACUCUGCAUCAGCAGUGAAUAUGUGAUGACAUUGAAAUCUGUCUCUUUACAUGUCUGAUUUUUCUUUUGAAGUUUUCCCUCACCUUUAAAUAGAGGGCUCACGUUUAUUUUUGCCUGCUGUCACCACACUUCCAGAGCUGUCUUAAAAGAAUGUUUGCCUUGAUACAGUAGCAUUAGCUAGAAAAAGUGUGCUGGGUAGAAAGCUGAAAAAGCCAUGUGAACCUCAGAUUUCUACUCAGGUUAUAAUUUAUCUUUCAUAUUACAAAUCCUAGACUGCCAGUGGUACAGCAAAUGCUUUCCCUUUUGAGGAAGAUUCUGUAGACAGUAUCCUCUGUCCACUUAGCUAUGAUUUUUUUCUAAGACUCCUCUGACCUAAUGCAAACCCCUGAUUUUUCCCCUUUCCUGAAAAGAACUGAUAGUAAAUAAGUCUAUAGAUUCCCAACUCAGAUUGUCUUCCCCAACUUCUACAUAUAGACACUUUGCACCUGAAGAAUUUUCAAGAUUAUUAAUUGCUUCCUGUGAUAGAAUUCACAGACCAAAUAGAGGAAGCCUAGCUGCGAACAGGUGAAGGAAUCGCACAGCCUCCAGUCUGCAAAACGCAAUAUCGAAUUUGAGGCAACGCAAUGUUACAAAGUCAUUCGAGAAGCAGGGACCCCAGGCAUUUAGUUUCCAUGCCCAGGUUCUGGCUGCCGAAGCUAGCCGGGUGUUAGUGGUGAGGAAAGACGGUGACAGUUACCAGCCUUCGCGCCAGUCCCAGGCACUUCAGCUGCCCAAGGUAAACCUUUGCUUCUCCAGAGACAACAACUCACCUGAGCAGGACCGCGGCUUCCCACAGAUAAAAUCCCGAGACAGCGGUGCGGA